rnacentral:rRNA from 1 species
CACAUGCAAGUCGAACGGAGCUUAGAGAGCUUGCUUUUUAAGCUUAGUGGCGAACGGGUGAGUAACGCGUGAGUAACCUGCCCUAGAGUGGGGGACAACAGUUGGAAACGACUGCUAAUACCGCAUAAGCCCACGGUACCGCAUGGUACUGAGGGAAAAGGAUUUAUUCGCUUUAGGGUGGACUCGCGUCCAAUUAGCUAGUUGGUGAGGUAACGGCCCACCAAGGCGACGAUUGGUAGCCGGACUGAGAGGUUGAACGGCCACAUUGGGACUGAGACACGGCCCAGACUCCUACGGGAGGCAGCAGUGGGGGAUAUUGCACAAUGGGGGGAACCCUGAUGCAGCGACGCCGCGUGGAGGAAGAAGGUUUUCGGAUUGUAAACUCCUGUCGUUAGGGACGAUAAUGACGGUACCUAACAAGAAAGCACCGGCUAACUACGUGCCAGCAGCCGCGGUAAAACGUAGGGUGCAAGCGUUGUCCGGAAUUACUGGGUGUAAAGGGAGCGCAGGCGGGAAGACAAGUUGGAAGUGAAAACCAUGGGCUCAACCCAUGAAUUGCUUUCAAAACUGUUUUUCUUGAGUAGUGCAGAGGUAGAUGGAAUUCCCGGUGUAGCGGUGGAAUGCGUAGAUAUCGGGAGGAACACCAGUGGCGAAGGCGGUCUACUGGGCACCAACUGACGCUGAGGCUCGAAAGCAUGGGUAGCAAACAGGAUUAGAUACCCUGGUAGUCCAUGCCGUAAACGAUGAUUACUAGGUGUUGGGGGAUUGACCCCCUCAGUGCCG